AUACUGAAAUUGAGCUUCAACCAGAUAUGACUUAUUCAGAAGAACCAGUGAAGAUUUUGGCUCGUGAAGUUAAGGAAUUGCGGAACAAAAGAGUACCAUUGGUUAAAGUAUUAUGGCAUCGACAUGGUAUGGAGGAGGCAACCUGGGAAACAGAGGAGUCAAUAAGAUCACAGUAUCCAAAUCUAUUUUCAGAUCAAGAAUCCAAAGAAGAACGAGGAAAAGAAAAAGUUGCGGAAUAGUCCCAAAAUUUCAAUAUCUUCUACAAAUUAGUCGGAUUGACUUGAAGUGAAGUGGGUAGAUCGGAUCAACACAACAAAGCACACUAUCC